AGUGAACGCUGGCGGUAGGCCUAACACAUGCAAGUCGAACGGCAGCACAGUAAGAGCUUGCUCUUACGGGUGGCGAGUGGCGGACGGGUGAGGAAUACAUCGGAAUCUACUUUUUCGUGGGGGAUAACGUAGGGAAACUUACGCUAAUACCGCAUACGACCUACGGGUGAAAGCAGGGGAUCUUUGGACCUUGCGCGAUUGAAUGAGCCGAUGUCGGAUUAGAUAGUUGGCGGGGUAAAGGCCCACCAAGGCGACGAUCCGUAGCUGGUCUGAGAGGAUGAUCAGCCACACUGGAACUGAGACACGGUCCAGACUCCUACGGGAGGCAGCAGUGGGGAAUAUUGGACAAUGGGCGCAAGCCUGAUCCAGCCAUACCGCGUGGGUGAAGAAGGCCUUCGGGUUGUAAAGCCCUUUUGUUGGGAAAGAAAAGCAGCAGGUUAAUACCCCGCUGUUCUGACGGUACCCAAAGAAUAAGCACCGGCUAACUUCGUG
rnacentral:rRNA from 1 species